GAGGGCCCAGAACCAGAGGGCCAGACAGGGGCCCGUGUAGUGUGGGUCUGUGACGGAAAGUGCCUGCUCGUUUCAGGAUUUGACAGCCGCAGUGAAAGGCAACUAAUGUGUCUCCCUCAACCCUUGUACCAUUCUAUGAUCCCGACACCAGUGUCCUCAUCCUCAUUGGGAAGUUGCUCAGUGCCAUGGUGGCGAAGCUGGGAAACAGGGAAGAGCCUCUGCCAAAGGAGUCAUAUGAGGGUGUGGAAUGAAGACGAGUGGGUGAGUAAAGAACUGACCCCACAAACACAUGGUUCAUGACACACUGUAAACCAUCUAAAUAAUGUAUGUGUGUGUGUUUCAAAAUGACUAACACACAAGCCUUGCCUCGCGGUCCAGUCAGGGUGCCAGCAGCAGACAUGGGACGUGCCUGCUGUAUUUGAAUCUUGCCAUUCCAGGGUGCCAAUGUUCCUCUGAACCUCCGAAACGCUCUUCAUCCCAUCAGCUUCAGCUGAUUUACUCUCACACAUUCCUCUAUCCAUCUUCUAGAUAAUCCACCCAUCCCGUCAUCUCUCUGCGUUGGUUUAACUGGAGCAUUAGUAUCUGUUAUUAUUCAUUCUUCAAAGAUUAACACAUUCCUAUACAUAGCUCAGACAUUCAUCUCAAAUAUAUGAGGCACAUUUACAGUAGGACAGUGUUAAUGAUGGGCAUCAGUAUUGUACUGCUUGCUGUAAUUGACUGUAUAAUGACUGCAUGCAGCACAUGCCUUCCUCAGUCUGUAACACAAAACCUCUCUAGAUAUUUUCAUUGGUAAAACAAAGUGCAUUUAAUACUAUCAUUUGACUGUUAACAUGGUUAAAUGUAGGUUUUACAUCGAUAUUGUGGUAAUUUGUUGCAUUAAAUGUCACCACCUCUAGGUUCUUAGCAGUGUUAGUUAUCCUUUAAUAUGUCUUGAGCAAAAAAUGUCUAUGUACUUCUAAAUGAAUCUUCUGGAGACUGUUAAAAACACUCAUUUUUAAUCUGGAAAAUACUCCUUUUUAGUAUAUUUCCUUCUGCUCAGUCUCAUCAACAGUAUUAACACAAAUCUACUUCAUACAAGGGAAUUUUCUCCAAUAAUCAGAUCUAUCACAAGGCAAUACUAAUUUAGUUUAUUAUAUUUUUUUAACAGAACAUGUUUACAUUAUGCCAGGUAAGGAAUCGUCCAUGUUAUGACACUUGUACCAUGUGAUGUCCUGUGCUAGAUAUGUGAUCAUGUAAUCACACAUAAAUGGUAGAUGUUAAUAUAUACAUGCUAAUGAUCUAAAGUGUUUUUUAAAUGCAAGCUCAUUUUGUUACCAAUCUGAUGUUUUUGGGAUGUUUUUUCACAGCACUUGUAAUCGGGUUCAUUUUAAUACUUUAUAGGCAAUGAUUUUUUUCACUCCUCUUUUGAGCGGAAUCAGUCUUGUGGGAACACGUUGCCUCAAAAUAAAACCUUACAAAAAUAUAUAAAUAUAAAAAAAAUAAAAAGAGCAAAGAAAUAUGGAAUUGAGUGUUGUAUUUAUUGAUGAACAAUUAUUUUGUAACUGUUGCAAUUACAAGUGUU